rnacentral:rRNA from 1 species
GAUGAACGCUGGCGGCGUGCUUAACACAUGCAAGUCGAACGGAAAGGCCCUGCCUUGGAGGGGUGCUCGAGUGGCGAACGGGUGAGUAACACGUGAGUAAUCUGCCCUUGACUUCGGGAUAACUUUAGGAAACUGGGGCUAAUACCGGAUAGGAGCACCUGCUGCAUGGUGGGGGUUGGAAAGUUUUGGCGGUUGGGGAUGGACUCGCGGCUUAUCAGCUUGUUGGUGGGGUAGUGGCUUACCAAGGCUUUGACGGGUAGCCGGCCUGAGAGGGUGACCGGCCACAUUGGGACUGAGAUACGGCCCAGACUCCUACGGGAGGCAGCAGUGGGGAAUAUUGCACAAUGGGCGGAAGCCUGAUGCAGCAACGCCGCGUGCGGGAUGACGGCCUUCGGGUUGUAAACCGCUUUCGCCUGUGACGAAGCGUGAGUGACGGUAAUGGGUAAAGAAGCACCGGCUAACUACGUG